rnacentral:tRNA from 1 species
GUAUUCACAGGAACCCAAACUGACUUUUAAUCAGCGGGUCCCAGGUUCGAGUCCUGGUGGGCACACCA